rnacentral:tRNA from 2 species
GUACAAAUAGCCCAAUCUGGUAGGGUAUUUUCUUGUCAUGAAAAUGGUUAUAGGUUCAAAUCCUAUUUUGUAAACACCA